rnacentral:rRNA from 1 species
UACGUAGGUGGCAAGCGUUGUCCGGAAUUACUGGGUGUAAAGGGUGCGUAGGCGGGUUUGCAAGUUGGAUGUGAAAUAUUAGAGCUUAACUCUAAUGCUGCAUUCAAAACUGCAAAUCUUGAGUGAAGUAGAGGCAAGCGGAAUUCCCAGUGUAGCGGUGAAAUGCGUAGAUAUUGGGAGGAACACCAGUGGCGAAGGCGGCUUGCUGGGCUUUUACUGACGCUGAGGCACGAAAGCAUGGGGAGCAAACAGG